rnacentral:rRNA from 1 species
UACGUAGGAGGCGAGCGUUGUCCGGAAUCACUGGGCGUAAAGCGCGUGUAGGCGGGCGGGCAAGUCUGCUGUGAAAGCGCCUGGCUUAACCGGGCGAGGUCGGCGGAAACUGCUCACCUGGAGGGCGGUAGAGGGGGGUGGAAUUCCCGGUGUAGUGGUGAAAUGCGUAGAGAUCGGGAGGAACACCUGUGGCGAAGGCGG